UCCCUGGCGGCUCAGUGGUAAGGCAUCUGCCUGCCAAUGCAGGAGACACAGGUUCAAUCCCUGGUCGGGGAA
rnacentral:tRNA from 1 species